UAUAGUAAGAGUUUAAUUUUGGCUCAGGCAGAAUUUAUUUUCAGUAGUUUUAAGGCAUGCGAAUUUUUUUAAACCGUUGUUUAAAAAGUGAAGGGGUGAGAAAAAUAGUUUAUAAGGUACCCUAAAAGUCUCUAGAAAUAAGAGAUACGAAACUUUUUAGUUUUUAAAAGGAAUGUUUCUGCUUUAGGAUCCUAACUAUAGUGAUUAGGUAGUUGGUGUUUUGGUAAUUUUAAAUUAUUAAUUAGGUGACGGCUCACCAAGCCUAAAAUCAAUAGUCAUAUUUGAAAAAAUUGAUGACCACAGGGGGAAUGAAAUAUCCCUCGUUGUUUACGACCAGCAGCCGAGAAUAUUUGUCAAUGCUCGAAAGAGUGAACAAGCUUACUGAAAUCUAUCCAAUAGAAAAUUUAAAAUAAAUGAUGAUAUUUUUAGAUUUUGAGUGCCGUCUAAACCUGGUGCCAGAAGACUCGGUAAGGCCAGAGGCGCUAAAUUUGCCUACAUUAACAGGCUUAAAGAGUACGCAGACAGACCUUAUGAAUAAAUUUUUUAUUCGAAUGAAGGUAUAGAAUCUAAAAUUAGGAGAAUAUAACGUUUAGUGUAGUGUCGACAUACUGAGAUACUAAAUUGAAUACUAAGGGCGAAAGGCAAUUUUCCAAUAAAGAUCUACGUUGAGGUACGAGGGUGGAGAUAGAAAAAAGAAUUAGAGACUCUUGUAUCCUCCACUGUAAACGAUGAGUGGUUGUUUCGAUUUUAGGAUCGUUUCAAAGCAAAAGCGUUAACCACUCCGCCUUGCGAGUACAGUUGCAAAGCUGAAAUCAAAAAAAAUAGUCGGUUUUUGAGCAAACGGAGUGACGCAUGUUGUUUAAUUCGAUUACCCGCGAAAAACCUUACCUAAUCUUGAAUAGGUCAUUAAGAUUAAUAAUUAUUUUAAGUUUUAAUUUAUUAAUUUCCAACAGGUCCUGCACGGUCGCCUUCAGUUCAUACCGUGAGGUUUUAGGUUAAUUCCACAAAUGAACGCAAUCCUCGUUUUUAUUUUUUACAUAAAACUGUCGCUAUAAUGGCGACUAGAAAGGGGGCCAAGGCAGAUCAUUAUGGGCCUUAUGAUUAGGGCUACUGACGUGCAACAAGAGCUUUUACAAUUUGAUGCAAAACUGAGAAGAAGAGCUAAACAUUAAAAAAAGCUAUAAACGAAUUGAGAGUCUGAAACUUGACCUCAUGAAGACGGAAUUCCGAGUAAUCGCAGAUCAUAAGACGCCGCGGUGAACUAUAUCUCAAUAAUGAACUAAUUGUCUGUCACUAGGGAGAAGAUUUACUUGAUGAAAGAUGGCAUGAAAUAAAAAUGAUUUUGACUUAUAUAUUAUUUAAUUAAUAUUAUAACCAUAAAUAUUUUUAUCUAUUGUUUAUUUAAGUCAAGGAAUUAACAUCUUAAAAGUCAUAGCAGAGUAGGUCCGUAAGAAUAUGGACCUGUAUUAUAAAACAC
rnacentral:rRNA from 1 species